rnacentral:rRNA from 1 species
CGAACUCUGGUAUUGAUUGGUGCUUGCAUCAUGAUUUACAUUUGAGUGAGUGGCGAACUGGUGAGUAACACGUGGGAAACCUGCCCAGAAGCGGGGGAUAACACCUGGAAACAGAUGCUAAUACCGCAUAACAACUUGGACCGCAUGGUCCGAGUUUGAAAGAUGGCUUCGGCUAUCACUUUUGGAUGGUCCCGCGGCGUAUUAGCUAGAUGGUGGGGUAACGGCUCACCAUGGCAAUGAUACGUAGCCGACCUGAGAGGGUAAUCGGCCACAUUGGGACUGAGACACGGCCCAAACUCCUACGGGAGGCAGCAGUAGGGAAUCUUCCACAAUGGACGAAAGUCUGAUGGAGCAACGCCGCGUGAGUGAAGAAGGGUUUCGGCUCGUAAAACUCUGUUGUUAAAGAAGAACAUAUCUGAGAGUAACUGUUCAGGUAUUGACGGUAUUUAACCAGAAAGCCACGGCUAACUACGUGCCAGCAGCCGCGGUAAUACGUAGGUGGCAAGCGUUGUCCGGAUUUAUUGGGCGUAAAGCGAGCGCAGGCGGUUUUUUAAGUCUGAUGUGAAAGCCUUCGGCUCAACCGAAGAAGUGCAUCGGAAACUGGGAAACUUGAGUGCAGAAGAGGACAGUGGAACUCCAUGUGUAGCGGUGAAAUGCGUAGAUAUAUGGAAGAACACCAGUGGCGAAGGCGGCUGUCUGGUCUGUAACUGACGCUGAGGCUCGAAAGUAUGGGUAGCAAACAGGAUUAGAUACCCUGGUAGUCCAUACCGUAAACGAUGAAUGCUAAGUGUUGGAGGGUUUCCGCCCUUCAGUGCUGCAGCUAACGCAUUAAGCAUUCCGCCUGGGGAGUACGGCCGCAAGGCUGAAACUCAAAGGAAUUGACGGGGGCCCGCACAAGCGGUGGAGCAUGUGGUUUAAUUCGAAGCUACGCGAAGAACCUUACCAGGUCUUGACAUACUAUGCAAAUCUAAGAGAUUAGACGUUCCCUUCGGGGACAUGGAUACAGGUGGUGCAUGGUUGUCGUCAGCUCGUGUCGUGAGAUGUUGGGUUAAGUCCCGCAACGAGCGCAACCCUUAUUAUCAGUUGCCAGCAUUAAGUUGGGCACUCUGGUGAGACUGCCGGUGACAAACCGGAGGAAGGUGGGGAUGACGUCAAAUCAUCAUGCCCCUUAUGACCUGGGCUACACACGUGCUACAAUGGAUGGUACAACGAGUUGCGAACUCGCGAGAGUAAGCUAAUCUCUUAAAGCCAUUCUCAGUUCGGAUUGUAGGCUGCAACUCGCCUACAUGAAGUCGGAAUCGCUAGUAAUCGCGGAUCAGCAUGCCGCGGUGAAUACGUUCCCGGGCCUUGUACACACCGCCCGUCACACCAUGAGAGUUUGUAACACCCAAAGUCGGUGGGG